rnacentral:rRNA from 1 species
AACGAACGCUGGCGGCAUGCCUAACACAUGCAAGUCGAACGAGACCUUCGGGUCUAGUGGCGCACGGGUGCGUAACGCGUGGGAACCUGCCCUUAGGUUCGGAAUAACUCCCCGAAAGGGGUGCUAAUACCGGAUAAUGUCUUCGGACCAAAGAUUUAUCGCCGUUGGAUGGGCCCGCGUUGGAUUAGCUAGUUGGUAGGGUAAAAGCCUACCAAGGCGACGAUCCAUAGCUGGUCUGAGAGGAUGAUCAGCCACACUGGGACUGAGACACGGCCCAGACUCCUACGGGAGGCAGCAGUGGGGAAUAUUGGACAGUGGGCGAAAGCCUGAUGCAGCAAUGCCGCGUGAGUGAUGAAGGCCUUAGGGUUGUAAAGCUCUUUUACCCGGGAUGAUAAUGACAGUACCGGGAGAAUAAGCUCCGGCUAACUCCGUG